rnacentral:lncRNA from 1 species
AAAAAUUAUCAAAUUAUUUCCAAGUCUUCUUCUUGGUCCUCAAAGUUCUGGCCCAUUUCUCCUUCUUUCCAUAAGAAAUUCCCUGAUAUUUCUAGUAGCAAUCUGGGUAGAUUCUCUCCUGGGCUCCUCCCAGUUCUUCUGCUCCCAUCCCCUCUCCGUCAUCCACAACUAUAUUUGAUAUUGACUGAUUCAUAGAUUACUAACACCACUUCUACUAUCAGUUCAUUCGCAUCACAUGACAAACAGUGAUUGCACACCUACUACAUUUCAACCCUCUGGUCACUCCAGAAUAGAUGUUUCCAGAAUGAGAACAUUAUGUGUUACACAAGCCCAAAGAUGCAAGAAGCCAGAAAAGGGAGCCCAGGAAAUUCAGGAAUAUAUUCUACUUUUCCAUGCAAGAAGAUAAAGAUAGAUGAUAAGGAUGGGGAUAAAGAGAAGCCUGGAAUAGAACAGAAUUCGAAAUCACAACUCAAGCAGCAUUUUAGAUUGAACCAGAAGGAAUUUAGCCCUACUACAUUUUAAGUUUUUAAUCAGACAGGAAAAUUUAAUGGGAAAUGUAAUGGCAUGCUACACCUGGCAACGCUGGCCAGUAACCAAACAUCCUGGAAGUAUGUUUAUGGAGGUUGCUGUGUCUUGAACAAAGCUGAGAGCAUCUUGCCCUUUAAUCAGCAUAGGCACUAACCAGAGAAGGCUUCCUACAUGCAAUUUGCAUAGAAAUCAAAUGGGAAAACUAGUCCCACCAGCUUCUUAACUGUGAAAUACCAGGAUAAUUCCAAUAAUGUCUUGCAUUUGUACAGAAUUUGACAAGUUUUGUAAUCGUUCCCAAGCAUUAUCGUAUCUGAGCCUCCCAACAUCCCUUGGGGUAGGAGUGAUCUCAGUUUUGUUGAAUAUCUUCAGGACUUUAUGCUGAUAUGUUUUAGGGAAGAGAUAUUGGCUUCAUUGUCUCAGUUGAUGGCAUUUUCACGCCCCAAAAAACAAAAACAAAAACCAAGAAAAACAGGGAGUCCAAAAGGAAAGUUUCUGGAGUCCUGAUAAAGGCAGG